rnacentral:pre_miRNA from 1 species
CCCACACCCAUGUGUGUAGGAUCUCAAAUAAUCACCAUUAAAUUUGACACAGAUCUCUAGAAUAGUUAUCACAUGAGUGUGGAACUUGACUUUUUUAGAGAUAUGUACCAAAUUUAAUGGUGAUCCUUUGGGAUUCUACAUAUAUGGGUGUGGG